rnacentral:lncRNA from 1 species
CCCCCCAAGGGGAAGCCCCCUCUUCCACCCCCUGCCUCAGUUUCCCCCUCACACAACAACUCCCUCCGUCCCCUCGACAUCCCUCACGUCGGCCUCAUCGUUAGGACCCUAAAAGGUCCCGUUAUCACCCCGUUUUCCCCCUGGGGGGUCGCCCUUCCUCGGGUAGACACCACCCCAAGUCCCGAACCCCCCAAGGGGAAGCCCCCUUUUCCACCCCCUGCCUCAGUUUCCCCUCACACAACAACUCCCUCCGUCCCCUCGACAUCCCUCACGUCGGCCUCAUCAUCAGGACCCUGAAAGGUCCCGUUAUCACCCCAUUUUUCCCCACGGGGGUCACUCAGGCACCCCCCAGGGGGUCGGUGGGGAGCGGGAAGAGGAGCUCAGGGGGGGAGCUGGGGGAGAUAUUCUUUUUUUUUUUAAUAGAAAUUGCUAUUUUGUCUUUUUUCCAGGCUGGGCCCUCAUCGGCUCCUGGAGCGAGGGAGAAGGUGCCGGCUCCGGGCGAGGGAACCCGCCGCUGGGAAGGAGCUCCUGGAAGAUGGAUCCCGGCCGGAGCGAGCCCCCGGAGGAGCCAGGGAGCCGGCGGCCAGUGGAGAACGGGCUGAGCCCGGAGCUCCGGGUGGAGAAAUACCCGGAGAAGGGGAAGCUGCUGGGGCCGGCGCUGAGCCGCAUCCGGAGCGGUAGGAACACCAGGAAAGGGGGGGGAUUUCCUCCAGGAAAAGGGGGGAGAUUUCCCCAGGAAAAGGGGAAAUUUCCUCCGGGAAAGGGGGAAAUUUCCACCGGGAAAAGGGGGAAAUUUCGCCAGGAAAG